rnacentral:rRNA from 1 species
AACGAACGCUGGCGGCAUGCCUAACACAUGCAAGUCGAACGAUCCCUUCGGGGAUAGUGGCGCACGGGUGCGUAACGCGUGGGAACCUGCCCUUGGGUUCGGAAUAACUCAGAGAAAUUUGAGCUAAUACCGGAUAAUGUCUUCGGACCAAAGAUUUAUCGCCUUUGGAUGGGCCCGCGUUGGAUUAGCUAGUUGGUGGGGUAAAGGCCUACCAAGGCGACGAUCCAUAGCUGGUCUGAGAGGAUGAUCAGCCACACUGGGACUGAGACACGGCCCAGACUCCUACGGGAAGCAGCAGUGGGGAAUAUUGGACAAUGGGCGAAAGCCUGAUCCAGCAAUGCCGCGUGAGUGAUGAAGGCCUUAGGGUUGUAAAGCUCUUUUACCCGGGAUGAUAAUGACAGUACCGGGAGAAUAAGCCCCGGCUAACUCCGUG